rnacentral:rRNA from 1 species
AAAAGCACUUUGAAGAGAGAGUUAAAGAGGACGUGAAACCGAUAAGAGGGAAACGGAUAGAGCCAACGGACUAGCUUGCAUUCAGCUUCGGUUCUGUGCCAAGCAUGCGUUCCAUACACGUCUCGUAUGGUUCGUGUGUUGCCUCGGCUUUGGACUGUUGUGCAUUUGCAAGUGGAGUGCGCUGAGACUUGUGGCUGCGUCGGCUGGAUCUCUGUGUUGAGGCCACACAUACUUCGGUGUGUAUGGUUCCGCAUGGGGGGAAGGCUGUUCGUGCUGCAUGUGAAGAGUGUGGUUGGGGCUUGUAGGUGCCUAGCCGGCUGCUGGUAACGGUCGCAUGCGACACGUGCUAGUUUGUUGGUUUGGUGCUUGCUGGUUCUUCAUGCUUGCUCUCGGUGUAAAAGUUGGUCAUCUAUCUGACCCGUCUUGAAACACGGACCAAGGAGUUUAGCGUAUGCGCGAGUCAUUGAGUCUGACCAACUCAAAGGCGAAAUGAAAGUAAAAGCAGCAAUGUGGAUAUGCGAUCGGGUAGACUUCGGUCCGCCCGAGCAGCAUAGCCCCGUCCCGAUCGCUUGCGAUGGGGCGGAGGUAGAGCGUAUUCGCUGAGACCCGAAAGAUGGUGAACUAUUCCUGAGCAGGACGAAGCCAGAGGAAACUCUGGUGGAAGUCCGAAGCGGUUCUGACGUGCAAAUCGAUCGUCUGACUUGGGUAUAGGGGCGAAAGACUAAUCGAACUAUC